GGGCCGGUGGCUCAGCCAGGUAGAGCAUCCGAGCGCUUCCUACCGGGGGGUCCCGGGUUCAAAUCCCGGCCGGCCCA
rnacentral:tRNA from 1 species